GGGCAAUAACGGGCCUCCAUUUGACGUUUAAAUUGGCGGGAAAAAUGCAAACGUCAGUUUGACAGUUAACUUUUUUUCCGCUCCGCGCCCGCGUUCCGUUCACCGCGCUAAUGCGUAGUGGAAACAUUAAGCAGUCGCGUAUAUGGUAUACCCACAUACAGCCUAUGCGUCCGGUUGAUAACUAUCGAAAAAUGUCGCUUUUUAUUACGGCAAUUUUUAAAUAAUAUGAUUUUUUUAUUAAAACUUUAAAUGCCUCAGCUGUUUCUGUAUACGUUUUAGCAAAUAUAGUAUAUGUUUAUGGGAAUAAUGUUGAUGCUUAUCCAUCAUUCAUAUCUUUGGCCAUUAAUUUGCAGAUGGUAACUAAUAAGUACGCACCUCGUACAUUUAAUUUAAUGGAUCAGUGAUAAAAAUAAAUUAGGCACUUAGUAGUCUAGACUAAAACUACUUACGCCCUAAUAUUACAAAGUAAAUGAAUAAAAUAUGUAAUAUUGUUGCAUUGAGUGAGCUGCUCAUGUAGUGUAGAUGUCCAGUCAACAAGGAUGUAGCGAGGUUGACUGUCCAGGCGACACACGUACUUAGGUAUCGUCAUGAGCUAAUGUUCACAUGUAAACAGCAGCUCAUGUAGUGUAGAUGUCCAGUCAACAAGGAUGUAGCGAGGUUGACUGUCCAGGCGACACACGUACUUAGGUAUCCUCAUGAGCUAAUGUUCACAUGUAAACAGCAGCUCAUGUAGUGUAGAUGUCCAGUCAACAAGGAUGUAGCGAGGUUGACUGUCCAGGCGACACACGUACUUAGGUAUCGUCAUGAGCGAAUGUUCACAUGUAAACAGCAGCUCAUGUAGUGUAGAUGUCCAGUCAACAAGGAUGUAGCGUAGACUGUCCAGGCGACACACGUACUUAGGUAUCGUCAUGAGCUAAUGUUCACAUGUAAACAGCAGCUCAUGUAGUGUAGAUGUCCAGUCAACAAGAAUG